CGUAGAUUUCGGAACAACUCGCUGCUCAAGAAAUAAUUAAAGUAUGUUUUGCUUAACUAUAUUUUCAUAGUAUGUUACACACCAUUUCUAUUAUUAUACUUCAUAGUUUCUGUUUCCGAAACAAGUGAAUAAAUAUAUUGUUACGAAUAACAAUGAAUUCUGACCACAGGGUGUGCCGAGCGGGGUUUCUGAAAACCCCUACUUCUACAUCCAGAAAACACAGUCCAUUUUUAUUUAUAACAAUAAAAUUAGUUUAUUGUAACAGCAUGAACAUACGAGAUUAAUAAUAUUAUUAACUACAAGUUGAUUCAAGAUAUAUUAAUAAAAACGGAAUUUCAGGAAAUUCCAAUAGGUACAGCGAAGAAAUAUUAAGCAUCCCAUUUGAAUAGAAAAUCAUUUAAAUACUCAUUUGUUUGAAGCUGAAAUGUUUAUCCCAUAUGACAAUGUCUUAAGGUUCAUGUUUACACUUUGUUUCCAAAAUUGCUACUAUGAUUUAAUACAUUUUGAAGCAAUGUUGACUUUAUAAUGCACAUAACCUUAAGAUAUAAUUUUGCAUAUCUGAACUGUCCCAGUUUGUAAUAGAACUUAACUAAAUUUUGUUAAUUUAAAUCCUUUUACGAUUUCAUGUAAACUUUGUGAAAAUUUGUUCCUUGCAAAAAAAUGAAAAAAAAUUAACAAGAUUCACGAAAAGAAAAGGUAUCUACUGUAAUCGGUUAUGCAUCAAUUGGGAACUCUUCAAACAAGGUGUAAGAAUAUGGGCGCCGCCAUGUUGUAACUCGCCACCAAAAUUUUACAAUGUAUUUUCCAUCACCCGGUAAUAUAAGUAUACCAGGCAAGUCUUUUUGUCUAUUUUUUUAAUUUUUUUUUUAAUGCGAUCAAGAAAGAUUAACCAUGAUUACUCUCAUAAUAUCAUUAUUUACACUUUGUUUCUGUUCUCCAUUGUUCUUCAUCUCACCAAAUAAAACCCAUUCAUACGCCUGGUUUUUUUUUAAAUAACUCAAAACAUUGGUGUUAUUUUCAUUAUUGCAAAUUAAAUUAAAAUUUCUCUUUUUGUUUUUAUGUACAGCCUAUGAGUUUUAGAUCUUAUAUCAAUAUAAAAAUGUUUUUGUUUGGAAAAAAAAUAUAUUUGUUUUUUCGUCUCAUUUUGUGUUGCCAUUUUAUUGAGCACCGAAGGAAAUAAGUCAAGGUCGUUUAUAUGUAGUUAUAUGAUAAUUUAUAUUAUAUCCAAUUUGUUGAAUAAUCACUACUGAUUAUGGCUGUCACAAGGAUAUGAGGUAAGCAAUCAUCCAAAAAGUUUGGAAUGGCAUCUAAAACACAGAAUAGAUUGGGAAAGACACCAGUGGCAGACACAAAUUUGUUACUAAAUGGUCAUCUGAUUUUAGAGAGUUUUCUAUUUGAAUAAAUGUCUGUAUAGGUUGUACUUUGUAAAUACAGCUGUUUCUCAAAACACGCCUCUUUUGGGGAGUAAUUGAAUAUUCAUAGAAAUUCAUUUGUUUACAUACUGGUUCCAUAUGCUCUCUGUGUUCCAUAUCGCAGAGACAGAACUUGGGAUCUACAAAAUAAACACGUGCAAUUGUUACAUUGAAAUCUGUGGAACCUUUCAUUCGAGGUAGGGGAGUAAGCAUUAGUGUAAGUUUAAACUCUGAGAAGUUCAGGGCAUAUAAACGUUGAAAAUAUGCCGCACAGCCCUAUAUUUUGACCUUUGAAAAAAAUUGUGGUGCAUAUCAACUUUCAAUUCUAGGAUAAGAUUUUGUCAAAACUUCAUAGUAAAAGUGGUACAGUUUUAGCCGUAAAAGGAGUUCCUAUGGGAAAUUGCAUUGUCAAUAUUUACAGAAAUGCAACCUAUAAUAUAUAAAACAAUUUUGUAUCUAAGAUAUGUAAGACUAAAAUAUUAAGUAGAAUACAUCAAACAUCCAAUGUCCUUUUACAAAUAUUUCAUGCAUUAUUUCUGCAGAAGAUAAUGUAACAACCGUCCACACAAUCUCUAAAUAGUAAAGAAAUUUAUUAACGAAGAGUGUGUAUGUCACUCCCGCACCACUCGUCUGACAAAAUAUGACUGCAAAUUAAAUCAUCCCCAAUAUAUAAAAAAGAGCAUGAACCAGAAAUUGAAAACUGCAAAUAAAUGAAAACUUAUAAAAGUAAUUUUAUCAAGCCAAAAACUAAGGGUUCUUACUGAGGAAUUUUGAUGGCAAUUUCCCAGGACUCUUAAUAUAGUCAAGUUUAGUCCUACAGUGUGAGUAUGCAAUGGUAUUGCUAUAUUUGUCAUUUCUGUCUCGAUGACAAAAAUGAGCAAUAAAAACAUUAGAUUCAUAUUAUUUUAAAACUAUUGAUAUACAGUUUUGAUAUAUGUGCUCAAUUGAUGCAACAUGUUUUGUAUUCUUGAUGCAUCUUUAGACUCAACAGUUUUCAAAUGAGUUCGCACAUAUUUCAUUUGUCCCUGGCUCAUUUACCAGCCUUAGUGAGAAACCUAAAACUUGUACUAAAGAAAUUAAAAGCUGGAUUAUCUGUUAUACUAUUAUACAUCAUAUUGGUAUGGUUUGUUAUUAGCUAUAAGUUUUCAUUAAAAUGGAUUCAUAAAACCACGCCUGCAAAUACUUGAGAUCAAACAUUGUAAACCUAUGAUUGAUAACCCUGCUUAUAAGGCAGAAGGUAGACUUUCGAAAAGAUUUACUGAUCCUGCGCACUUCGCUAUCCAAAUGAAGAGCUGGAAGAAUCAAAAUUGUCAACAUUCUUACAUAGACACGAAAAUGCGCCAAAAUAUAGCCAUACUGCUCAGCAAUAUUACGAAAAAGAGUCAUCAAACCUGAUUGAAAAUAUCAUCAGCAACUAAGCAAAUCAUGGAUAAAAUUGAUAAAGGAAAUGGUGAAUGUGUCAAAGCGACAACAACCCGACCAUAGAGCAGAAAACAGCCGAUGCAUAUGUGAACAAAUGUUGAUACUAUGAGGCAGCUCUAAGGAACAAUUAAGGUCCUUUAUGGUCAUCAAAAAUUUGGGAAUCUAGUACCCAGUCCACCAGUGGUCACUUUUUUACGAAAUAACACCAGAGAGAGAAUAUCAAUAUCAACACCACCACUAAAUAGAACCCAGAAAUUAGGCAAACUAGAUGAAAAAGAAAAAUGAAGGCGUCAAAAGAGGCAACAUCCUGUAAAGCCAAAAGACAGUAUUUGAAAUAUUGUAUUCAGGCAGAGAAUGACAUUUCAUCUCAACAAUUAGAAACCAUCCAGCAGUUAUUUUCAACUAUAGAAAUAGAUAUAACAGCAUCAUAAAGAAAAUUGAAAAUGAAACAAAUCUCAAAGUAUCUCCACAAAUUGAUCAGAACAGCACAAAAAAAAACCCGUUUAAACUCAUUACAUUUUGGCUGCAUUGUUAAAAGGAAUUCAAAAAUUACCCGUUGCUAAACUCAUAUCUUCUCUUUUUUACUGUACAUUUUCUGGGAAUAAAGCAACACGUUUUAGGUUGAGUCUUGAUAGAGUAACAAUUACGGAAUGCUUUCAGUUCAUGUUUAAGAGAUCUACUGUAAACCGGAAAAUUACGUGCUGUCUUUUUUUUCGCGAUUUACCAACAAAAUCUAGAUUCGCGCCGUUUAGAAUUCGUGAUGUCUCUGUGUCCUACAUAAUUUAUUUUAUAACUAAUUUGGGAACAGUACAGUUUUGAUACAUGUCUUUUAUGUUUUUCGAAAUUAAAGUGUGGACUUAUAAUAUAUCCUCAUCACAAAUUUGUGGAUGCAAAUCAUUAUAACAUCGUUUCGGAAAAUAAGACCGGUUUAAUUGUAAAAAAGAAUGUUCUCCGUAACAAACCCAUAUCUUUGGCAAAAGCAACAAAAUUUGUUUCCAAUUUCUGUUUUGAACUGAAUCAAAACAAACAACUGCAACUGAAAAAAAACCUUCUACUACCAAGCCUAAGGAUUAUUGAAUAUUACCAGUUUACCAUGGUUAGCUUUCAUUGUUAGUACCAUUAUUCCGUGUGAGGUUCGAAUUGAACAAAUAACAUACAUUGUAGGACUCAUAAGUUUUGGAAUGUAUCAUGCUACCUAAGCUGAAAGUUUCUAUAUGAAUGCGAUUGUUCCAAAAAUAGCGUCAACGAGACACAACAAAUAUCCAGGAAUAAGAGGUAUGCAUAAUACAGGUUACUACUGAUCAAAUCAGUGCUUACGAUUUGCAAUAAUGAAAAUAACACUCUGAUAUAAUACCAGUUAAUUAAUAGGUAGUUGAGAUUAUUUAAAUGAUAUAAAGUUUUGAAAAGUACCUUCAGAAUACCUUCACUAUACAUACAUGUUUUGAAAAUUGGUUAACCAUACAUAAGUUUUCAGUCUCAAAGAAUGGAUCCAAAAAUUAACUGUUCUGUUGCAUUUAUAUUCUUAGGCUGUAAAUGGUGUAUUUGCAAUUUUUUAGAGCAUAUAUGACUUGCUUAACAAGAACGAAAAUAGAUUACGAUAACAUUAAACAUGUCAUCUGAUUCUUUUCGUCUUGUUUCUUUAAAUGAUCGACAUGAUAUUAUUAUCCCUGCAUUGAUCCUGUAAUGUUUAAAUGCAAAAAAAAACAAGUGAAAUUCUUUUACAGGAUGAUUGAGAUAUACGGUUUUGUUUAGAAAUUUGCAAAAAAUCCAAGUAGUAUCAACUAUAUGGUUAUUUUUUUUUUAUAUUUCAGAUUCAGUCUUUUUUGCCUGAAGAGUCUUUAACUAGCAGUUUAAGGAGAGAGAAAAGGG
rnacentral:lncRNA from 1 species